rnacentral:tRNA from 1 species
GGGGUCAUAGCUCAGCUGGGAGAGCGCGUCGCUGGCAGCGACGAGGUCAGGGGUUCGAUCCCCCUUGACUCCACCA